UGAAAAGCCCGCUCGCCGGAAGACCAAGGGUUCCUGUCCAACGUUAAUCGGGGCAGGGUGAGUCGACCCCUAAGGCGAGGCCGAAAGGCGUAGUCGAUGGGAAACGGGUUAAUAUUCCCGUACUUGGUGUUACUGCGAAGGGGGGACGGAGAAGGCUAUGUUGGCCGGGCGACGGUUGUCCCGGUUUAAGCGUGUAGGUGUGUGUUCCAGGUAAAUCCGGUUCACUUUAACACUGAGGCGUGAUGACGAGGCACUACGGUGCUGAAGCAACAAAUGCCCUGCUUCCAGGAAAAGCCUCUAAGCAUCAGGUAACAUCAAAUCGUACCCCAAACCGACACAGGUGGUCAGGUAGAGAAUACCAAGGCGCUUGAGAGAACUCGGGUGAAGGAACUAGGCAAAAUGGUGCCGUAACU
rnacentral:rRNA from 1 species